UGGGGUAUCGCCAAGCNNCGCCAAGCGGUAAGGCACCGGAUUCUGAUUCCGGCAUUCCGAGGUUCGAAUCCUCGUACCCCAGCCA
rnacentral:tRNA from 1 species